GAUGAACGCUAGCGGCAGGCUUAACACAUGCAAGUCGAGGGGUAACAUUGGUGCUUGCAUCAGAUGACGACGGGCGCACGGGUGCGUAACGCGUAUAGAAUCUGCCUUCUACAGAGGGAUAGCCUUUAGAAAUGAAGAUUAAUACCUCAUAAUACUGAGACUUGGCAUCAAGAUUUAGUUAAAGAUUUAUCGGUAGAAGAUGACUAUGCGUCCUACUAGCUAGAUGGUAAGGUAACGGCUUACCAUGGCGACGAUAGGUAGGGGUCCUGAGAGGGAGAUCCCCCACACUGGUACUGAGACACGGACCAG
rnacentral:rRNA from 1 species